rnacentral:rRNA from 1 species
UACGUAGGGGGCGAGCGUUGUCCGGAAUCAUUGGGCGUAAAGGGUGCGUAGGCGGGUCUUUAAGUCAGGGGUGAAAUCCUGGAGCUCAACUCCAGAACUGCCUUUGAUACUGAAGGUCUUGAGUUCGGGAGAGGUGAGUGGAACUGCGAGUGUAGAGGUGAAAUUCGUAGAUAUUCGCAAGAACACCAGUGGCGAAGGCGGCUCACUGGCCCGAUACUGACGCUGAGGCACGAAAGCGUGGGGAGCAAACAGG